AUGGUGGUGGCUAAGUGGUUAAGGCUCUAGGUUACUGAUCAGAAGGUCGGGGGUUCAAGCCGCUGCCACUGUU